GCUGUUUGCAGAAUUGGAGCAAGAAAUUUUCACUUUCAGAGUUGAUUUGAUUUGAAGAGUUUAAGGUAUGAAUGUUUAUCAAUUCAAUGUUGCGAUCCAACUUUGUUUUUCUUGUCAUGAUAGAACUAGUCCCACCCAUGUUUAUGGUCAAAGUAAGUAACUGUUUUGGGGUUUAUUACAAAUUGAGUUCAUCGAAAUAAACUCAGCAGAGGACGAAUGUGCUAGUCUUUGGUUAAUGAGAAAAAAGAAGUCUUCGGUCUUUGGUCAAUUUACAUACAAUAAUUGAAUCAACCGAUUGUUAUAUAUAUAUAAUAUAUGUGUGUGUGUGUACACUUCAUAGUUGCUAAAACUAGUUUGUUUAAUUGAUAUGCUGCCCAGAUUGUUAUGUUUUGAUUCUUGGCAGAUUGUACAUAUUGUUAUGCUUAUAUGUAAUCGAUAGGUAUGUUUUGAAUAUUGGCAUAUUGUUAUGCCCAGAUUGUUAUGUUUAUAUGUAAUUGAUAGGUAUGUUUUGAAUAUUGGCAUAUUGUUAUGCCCAGAUUGUUAUGUUUAUAUGUAA
rnacentral:lncRNA from 1 species